rnacentral:rRNA from 1 species
GUCGAGCGGGAACGUUCACUGUUUCUAGCGGCGGACGGGUGAGUAACGCGUGAGCACCUGCCUUUAUCAGGGGGAUAACGCAUCGAAAGAUGUGCUAAUACCGCGUAAGUUCCAUGGACAAAGGAGCAAUCCGGAUAAAGAUGGGCUCGCGUCCGAUUAGCUAGUUGGUGAGAUAACAGCCCACCAAGGCGACGAUCGGUAGCCGACCUGAAGGGUGAUCGGCCACAUUGGAACUGAGAGACGGUCCAGACUCCUACGGGAGGCAGCAGUGGGGAAUAUUGGGCAAUGGGCGAAAGCCUGACCCAGCAACGCCGCGUGAGGGAAGAAGGGUUUCGGCUCGUAAACCUCUGUCCUGGACGAAGGAAGUGACGGUACCAUAGGAGGAAGCCCCGGCUAACUACGUGCCAGCAGCCGCGGUAAUACGUAGGGGGCGAGCGUUGUCCGGAAUGAUUGGGCGUAAAGGGCGCGUAGGCGGCCUGCUAAGUCUGGAGUGAAAGUCCUGCUUUCAAGGUGGGAAUUGCUUUGGAUACUGGUGGGCUGGAGUGCAGGAGAGGAAAGCGGAAUUACCGGUGUAGCGGUGAAAUGCGUAGAGAUCGGUAGGAACACCAGUGGCGAAGGCGGCUUCUGGACUGAAACUGACGCUGAGGCGCGAAAGCGUGGGGAGCAAACAGGAUUAGAUACCCUGGUAGUCCACGCGGUAAACGAUGAAUGCUAGGUGUAGGAGGAUCGACCUUCUGUGCCGCAGUAAACACAAUAAGCAU